AACCAGAAAAUGCACACAGAAAUUUGAAACAUUUUGCAUCAUGUUCAUGUAAUUUUUCAAAGAUGUUGUCUAAUUUUGUUUUUUUAUUGUUUUCUUAUGUUUGAUAUAAAUUAAAUGUAAUGUUGUUAAAAAAACCUAGAAAUUUUGAGAGCUUCCUUAUGAACUUUUACCAAAGAUCACCAAGUGUUGACAAAGGAUCGUUUUGUUGGACGGACACCAAAGAAGGGGAAGAGUGUGGGACCACGGUUCUCUCUGGAGGAGUAAGAUUGAACAUUCCCCAUUAUCCCAUCAUCAGAGUUUGCAGUAUUUCUACUUCAAUGGUUGUGAUGACUUUUUUAUUUUCUAUAUUGUAUGUUAUUUUGUAUAGAUUGUUUACCAUAGUUCAUGAUUAUCGAAUGCACUGGGAUUCUGUGCAUCAUUCACCCUGUGUUAUAAGAUGGAGUUCUAGACAAGGCAGUUCUCCUAGCUGUCCCUAUUAUAUUUGAUUUUGUAUCUGUCAUGAUUAGUUUUGUCUUUUAAAGAAGAAUGUAAUGCUACAAUAUGGAAUAAUUAUCAUUCUGACCUGCAUUGGUGAUAUUUUACGCCAUAUUUUCAUCCGUCACAACAGGAUUUUAAUAUUCUGCAUUAGCAUUUGUUUUCCAGCCAUUGUUUGCUGGACUUCAUUUGAAUAGACCGGUAGCUGUAUUUGUAUAAGUACAUGUUCUUGUAUUGAAUUUUGAGGAAUUGUGCUGUUGUUAUUUUAACUAGACAUGUUUUACCUUUAAAUAAUCUAAAUUUUCUCUCAGUAGCUCAAGUUUUUCAAAUAUGACUUUUAAAGGGAAUUAGUUUAUCUGAAAUGAUCUUUGAUUUGUUCAACUUUUUCAAAACAUGAUAGCUGUAGGUUGUUAACUGCCAGUUAUCAUCCUAAAUUCACUUUUGACAUUCCUAGAUUUUUCCAUGAAUCUCUAUUUUUAUUGCUCAGUUUUCACUAAAAUGUACAUUCCAGAAUAAUGAUACACACUUUGCCAAAUGAUGUGUUAAUCAAGUUUUGCCUUUAAGAGCAUGUUUGUAAAUCCUUCACAGAUUUUAUUGAUGUUUUUAAAAUUAGGGCUAAUUAUAUUGUGUUAAUAAAUGUCAUGAGGAAAGCUUGGCUUUCCUCAAAAGUGCCUUUAAUCAUGUUUUUGUUUGAAAUAAAGAGAAUUUCACUGU
rnacentral:misc_RNA from 1 species